CGAGCACGCGCGUGUGGCAUAUCAAUAAGCGGAGGAAAAGAAACUAACAAGGAUUCCCUAGUAACGGCGAGUGAAGCGGGAAGAGCUCAAAUUUGAAAUCUUCAAGGUUCUACCUUGACGAAUUGUAGUUUAUAGAAGUGUUUUCUGUUAGUAGAGUGGCAAAAGUUCUUUGGAAUAGGACAUCAUAGAGGGUGAGAAUCCCGUAUUUGGUCAUUCCUUCCUAGCUUUGUGAUACACUUUCAACGAGUCGGAUUGUUUGGGAAUGCAGUCCAAAAUGGGUGGUAAAUUUCAUCUAAAGCUAAAUAUUGGCGAGAGACCGAUAGCGAACAAGUACCGUGAGGGAAAGAUGAAAAGAACUUUGAAAAGAGAGUUAAACAGUACGUGAAAUUGUCAAAAGGGAAGCGUUUGACACCAGUGUUGUUUUUCCGAAAAUCAAUUACGAAUGUUUUGUUUUUAAGAAGUUAUGACUUCAUCGGCUUGCUCCUUUCUUUACGAAACUUUCUUAAUGCACUUUUCGGUUAACAAGUCAACAUCAAUUUCUUUUGUUGUAAAAGGGUAUGAGGAAGGUGGCUUUCUCUUCGGAGAAAGUGUUUAUAGCCUUGUACCUCUGCAAUCGGAGAGAUUGAGGUCUGCAGCGUAGAUCCUUCGGGGUUAGAUACAUUUGUGCUAAGUUAUAGCUUUUCAUAGACAACUUGUUGACUAUGUUAAGUCUUGUAGCUUACUCGCUUAUGCUAUUUUACCUACGCUUAGGAUGUUGAGUAGCGACAUACGCAC
rnacentral:rRNA from 1 species